AGAUAUGAAGCACAUAGAGAUACAACAUUUAUCACCCAUGUAUCCCCAGUGCUUAUCUGGCUAAUCUGAUGAGCUAGGUUGAUAUCUCCUUCUUCCUUCACAGCUUCAUGGGCAUUGCUCUUAAAGAUUCAAGUUUCCAUGAAGAGGAUGGUCUUCAUCGCAUAGACACAACAUUCUGUGCUCAAGCAUAUAGCAGUAGUUGCACUCCCUGCUCAAACCUCCAAAGCGGUUCUCAAAAAUCUAAAUAAAUAUCAAAAUGUCAUAUUUU
rnacentral:sRNA from 1 species